UACGUAGGGGGCUAGCGUUGUCCGGAUUUAUUGGGCGUAAAGAGCGUGUAGGCGGCCAGGUAGGUCUGCUGUGAAAACUCGAGGCUCAACCUCGAGACGUCGGCGGAAACCAUCUGGCUAGAGUCCGGAAGAGGAGAGUGGAAUUCCUGGUGUAGCGGUGAAAUGCGCAGAUAUCAGGAAGAACACCGGUGGCGAAGGCGGCCUGCUGGGACAGUGCUGACGCUGAGGCGCGACAGCGUGGGGGAGCAAACAGG
rnacentral:rRNA from 1 species